UAGUCCACGCCCUAAACGAUGAAUGUUAGUCGUCGGGUAGCUAGUCUAUUCGGUGAUGCAGCUAACGCAUUAAACAUUCCGCCUGGGGAGUACGGUCGCAAGAUUAAAACUCAAAGGAAUAGACGGGGACCCGCACAAGUGGUGGAGCAUGUGGUUUAAUUCGAAGAUACGCGAAGAACCUUACCUAGCCUUGACAUAUUUUAGAACACUUUAGAGAUAGAGUGGUGCCUUCGGGAGCUAAUAUACAGGUGCUGCACGGCUGUCGUCAGCUCGUGUCGUGAGAUGUUGGGUUAAGUCCCGCAACGAGCGCAACCCUCGUCACUAGUUACUAACGGUUCGGCCGAGGACUCUAGUGAGACUGCCUUCGCAAGGGAGGAGGAAGGUGGGGAUGACGUCAAGUCAUCAUGGGCCCUUAUGGGGCUGGGGCUACACACGUGCUACAAUGGUCGGUACAGACGGCUGCAACCCC
rnacentral:rRNA from 1 species